CAGCAGCCACGGUAAUACGAAGGGGGCUAGCGUUGCUCGGAAUUACUGGGCGUAAAGGGCGCGUAGGCGGACAGUUCAGUCGGGGGUGAAAGCCCGGGGCUCAACCUCGGAAUUGCCUUCGAUACUGGCUGUCUUGAGUAUGAGAGAGGUGUGUGGAACUCCGAGUGUAGAGGUGAAAUUCGUAGAUAUUCGGAAGAACACCAGUGGCGAAGGCGACACACUGGCUCAUUACUGACGCUGAGGCGCGAAAGCGUGGGGAGCAAACAGGAUUAGAGACCCCUGUAGUCCCUGUCUCUUAUAA
rnacentral:rRNA from 1 species